ensembl:snRNA U2 U2 spliceosomal RNA
AUCGCUUCUUGGCCUUUUGGCUAAGAUCAAGUGUAGGAAAUACAAUGGAAUUACUAUACAUAAUGUGAUUGCAUGACUACUAUGCCAUAUAUACUUUUCUAUGCAUUUCACAUGUUUUCAAUCAUUUAAUCACUGAUGCAAUCCUGUGAUAAAGGUAUUAUAGUC